UACUUCCCACGCUACUCCAUGCAUUUGAUGUUGCUUUAUCGUUCCCACUGGCUCUGGACUUCUGCACCUAUCCCAUCACUCAAAUUUACAGGUAACUGUCAAAAUACAGGAAACACAGAGUAAAUGAGGGAUACAAGGUAUAUUGCAUGCAGGUACUUCCACACAGGUGUGGUUCCUGAGUUAAUUAAGCAAUUAACAUCCCAUCAUGCUUAGGGUCAUGUUUAAAAAGCCCAGUUGCCCAUUAUUUUGGCUGCUAUGGUUAAAAGAAGAGAUCUCGGUGACUUUGAAAGAGGGGUCUGAAAGGGGCAUAGGGGUUAAAGGGUGUGUGUCUCAGUCACCAGAUCUCAACCCAAUAGAACGGCAUCUGAGACAGUGUUUUGCUUGCCUCAUACAAGCCAUCCUGAUCUCGGCGGGUGUACUAUCUGUUUCGCUACGUGGAUAUAAUCAAACCGUUUGAGACGCUCCCUUCCGUCCACCAUAUGGCCAGACCAAUCAGCAUCCUCUGAUAAUCUGUGGGGGUUGUUGAUGACAACGAAAAUCUAAAUUCAUAACAACAAUGACUGGAGGUUGCUGUUAACCGAUUCAGUAGCGGUAUCCUGUCAGAAUUGAAGGGCAUAACUUAAACUUAAGGCUUUUCUUGGGGGAGAAGAUGUUUUUCGUUCUUCUCCCGAAUGGGUUUGCCAAGCACUUGAUUUACGAGCUAGUUCCACUGGUAGUCAAGAAAAUGGGACAGAUCAAGAACCCAAUUCUCAUUGUUGUGUCAACGUGGGUCGCUUUAAUGGAGGUCCAUAAUCACAUACAAAUGGGGAGAGGUCGCAAAAGGGGAACCAGCCAUCAGAGAGAGCUUUGCAGAGUUGGGGAAAACUCUGAUCCAUAGCCAAAGAGAGUACACCUGUCUUGGCACUGACAACAUCCGUGUGUACGUUGUCAACAACAUCCAGUAUUCCGAUUGCAACGUGCAAUUUUAGCUGAAGACUUUCUUGGUCUAUAGUAAUUAGUUAGUUAAAUGUUAAAUUGUUUGUGUUGUUACUUGUCUAAACGUACCAGAUUAAAACUCAUAAUU